rnacentral:rRNA from 1 species
AGCGAACGCUGGCGGCAGGCCUAACACAUGCAAGUCGAGCGGCCGUAGCAAUACGGCAGCGGCAGACGGGAUAGUAACACGUGGGAACGCGCCCUUCGGUUCGGAAUAACUCAGGGAAACUUGAGCUAAUACCGGAUACGCCCUUACGGGGAAAGAUUUAUUGCCGAAGGAACGGCCCGCGUCGGAUUAGCUAGUUGGUGAGGUAAUGGCUCACCAAGGCGACGAUCCGUAGCUGGUCUGAGAGGAUGACCAGCAUCACUGGGACUGAGACACGGCCCAGACUCCUACGGGAGGCAGCAGUGGGGAAUAUUGGACAAUGGGCGCAAGCCUGAUCCAGCCAUGCCGCGUGGAUGAUGAAGGCCCUAGGGUUGUAAAGUCCUUUUAACGGGGAAGAUAAUGACGGUACCCGUAAGAAUAAGCCCCGGCUAACUUCGUGCCAGCAGCCGC